CAAUAGCGUAUAUUAAAGUUGUUGCAGUUAAAAAGCUCGUAGUUGGAUUUGUGGCGUACGGUGGGUUCCGGGCACUUGUUGUCUGAGUAACUUGCUGUUGCCAUCCUUGGGUGGAACCUGUGUGGCAUUAGGUUGUCGUGCAGGGGAUGCCCAUCAUUUACUGUGGAAAAAUUAGAGUGUUCAAAGCAGGCUUAUGCCGUUGAAUAUAUUAGCAUGGAAUAAUGAGAUAGGACUUUUUUGCUAUUUUGUUGGUUUGCGCAAAGAGGUAAUGAUUAAUAGGGACAGUUGGGGGUAUUCGUAUUCCAUUGUCAGAGGUGAAAUUCUUGGAUUUUUGGAAGACAAACUACUGCGAAAGCAUUUACCAAGGAUGUUUUCAUUAA
rnacentral:rRNA from 1 species